UACGUAGGGGGCAAGCGUUGUCCGGAUUUAUUGGGCGUAAAGAGCUCGUAGGCGGUCUGUCACGUCGGCUGUGAAAUCCCGAGGCUCAACCUCGGGUCUGCAGUCGAUACGGGCAAACUAGAGUACUGCAGGGGAGACUGGAAUUCCUGGUGUAGCGGUGAAAUGCGCAGAUAUCAGGAGGAACACCGGUGGCGAAGGCGGGUCUCUGGGCAGUAACUGACGCUGAGGAGCGAAAGCGUGGGGAGCGAACAGG
rnacentral:rRNA from 1 species